CCUUGCUCUUGUCAUGCUUUUCCACAGGCUUUCUUGAACUCGCUUUUCUUCUCUCUGUGCAGCUAUAGAGAUUACUGAACUUUCCCCAGAGGCAUAUGUACGUAUAGAAGUAUAUGGAAGUAGUUUAAGAAAGUCUGUGGAAGAACAUGGCAAGCAAGG
rnacentral:pre_miRNA from 1 species